GAAAUGACAUUUGUGGUAUAGAUCCGCACUUUCAUGAGACUGUGUUGAACUUUUUGAAGCAUCAACGUGUCAGUUGCUUAGCUGUCAAUAGAGGGACAGAAAUCCCUCAGAUUUCACCAAAAAGUUAUUUGUGUUCGAAGAUGAACGAAAGUUUUACGGGUUUGUUUGAAAGAAUUUUUUUGGGGGGGUGAACUAUUCCUUUAAUAUAUAUGUUGCAUUUUAAAUGGCUGUUAAUGGAGAAAGAACCUUUUUGCCCCACAUAAUUGUGUAGUUACCAAACGGGAAUGAAAUGGAACAUGCCGACCCCUUGGCUCACAGCUAUGAGAGGGAAUUUGAGUGCUAGUCACUUUUAAAAGUGAAUAAAUAGCAAGUAAUACAGAUUUUUUUUGUUUGUUUGUUUGUUUGUUUUGUUUUGUUAAAGCGUCUUUGUCUUGCAUUAAUUUCUGUCUUAAUGCUAUUCAAACCUGGUCUUUCAAACAUGUACAAAUGCCAGUCUGUUCUCUGCAUGUGUUCAAAAAAAAAAAGGAAUUACAACAGAAAAGGAAGUUUUAAAGCUCGGACAUACCUGCACAUGGUUAAAUGUCUUCUCAUAUCUUAAAGGAUCUGCUCCAUAUUUUCAAGAACGUCUUUGUGUUGGAUUAAAUGUGUCUUCUUUAGUUGUGGUAGAAUAUAGUUAUUUUAAUUGUACUCCCAUUAGACACAUUAUUCAAUGCUGCAUUCAAGUCCUGUCAGAAUGAUCAUUUUUACAAGGUGAGUGAGUGCACAUGAAGACAUAAUUGUCAGUGGGAAAUAGGGCUUGUCAAUUAGAAAUUUAUGGUGGAAACAUAUUGUUAUUAAUCAUAUGCUGUUCUUACUGUAUGAAUGUUGAUGAUACAAUUUUGUUUGUUCACAUUUUGUGUUUAAAAAAAAUAUAUAUAUAUAUCAUCUGUGGACAGCAUAGGACCAUAACAUGUAUGUUCAAUUAUUGCAUUUGUUUUGUUAUACUCAGAACGGUUCGUGACUCGAAUUUUAUUGGUUUUAUGGCAACACUAUCAACACCGAAAUGAAUCUGCACCAGUCUGGUGGAGGUGUGGCUUUGGAGACGCUCUGAAGGGAGGGUGAGAUCCCAUGCUUUCAAAGCUAUUACCUUUAAAGACAACUGCAAUCCCUUACAGAAAUGACUUACAGCAGAGAUCAUGUUUGUUCAGUCUGACAAGCAACAGUCGUAAAAUACUAUUAUAAAUCGUGUGCAUUCAAUAACUGUAUAAUAUAGUAAUGAGCUCCAUUCAACUCAUCCAUCCAAAUUCUGACUUGGAGAAUUACAAUAAACCAGUUUAUAAAUGGCAACAGAAUGCUUUACGGUUAGGGGAAAGAUAUUGAAGUAGAAAUAUCCCAUAAGCAUAGACAUUCUAUCUGACUAAAUAGUUUGGGCUAAUCAAACUCAGAGCAAUCACAGUAGUUGAAAUGACAAAAGGACACUACAGGAAGUUCAUAUGGACCGUUUAAUGACAGCUAAUAGUGCUACACUUUGGGGUUACUGAACAGGCUUAUGGAACAGUCACAUUUCUCUCCUGCAUGUAUUAUACACACAUUAACAUGCUCUGAAACAUCAAGAUCUGGAAAAACCAAGCAGGAUCAUAGGAGCUGUUGUGACACUGAGUCAUUACAAAGGCAAAAGAGAAAAGAUCAAAACCCCAAAGUUUAUUUACAAUCUUUCUGCUGCACUUCAAUUAUUUAUUUUGGCAAACACUCUGUUCAACAAAGGUCUGCGCCAUUUUUUUUUUUUAUUAAACUCUCAAUGCUUUUGUAAUCUUAAAGGGAUAGCACAUCCAAACAAUAUGUAAAUUCCAUUAUCAUUUACUUGCCCUAUCUUGUUUCAAGCCUGUGUUAUUUAGAGGCGAUCCAUACUUCUCCUACAAGAAAGUGAGUCGCAUUGGACUUCAAAAUGAAGUAAUGAUGUAUUUAAGUUCAUAUCCACAUUCAAAUAUGCUGUGAGAACAAAUUGGGUCAGGUUUGCCAUCAAUAAUACCAAAUGACAUUGUUUUGUGUAACUUUCAUAACUAAUUGCUUGAUCUAAUUUUGGUAUAAUGAAAAAAGUCAUCAGUGAAAAUUGACAAAUUUUUUGUACAUUUAUUGUUACUUUUUGUUCCCCUUUGAUUUCAUUUUACGGAAAAGGAGACCUUGAAAGAUUAGGCUAAACAUCUCCUUUGUGUUCCGCAGUAAAAAUAAAGCCAUAACGGUUUGGAACAUCAUGAGGAUGAGUAAAUGACGACAGACUGUUCAUUUUGGGGUGAACUAUAUCCCUUUAACUUUCGAGUAGAUUAACUGGACAUCUUAACUGGUUCUUGACAUACUGAAGAGAGCUAGGGUUGCAUUGAUAGGCCAUUCAUAAAGGAUAGGUAGGUCAAAUUUCAUACAGUGCAUAUUAAGGAGCUCGUAAUUUAAAACAGCCCGUUCUCAUCCUAAGGCGUCGUAUAGGUGACGCUUUUGAAAUUGCGUCUACAUCCUACCCACAUGGCACCCUUCAGCGUCAAUAUGAAACGCAGAUAUAUAUGGGCCAGAAGGCGCCUCCUUGUGGUCUAACCCGAACACUACCCCAGACCUAAACCUACCCAUAACGAAGCGUGUUAUAUUGACGUGUGCGUCGAAUUUAGACGCAAUUUCAAAAGCGUCACUUAAAUGACGCCCUUGGAUGAGAAUAAGUUGCUUAAAACGGUCCUGCAAUUUCACACAAAGGGCAGGUUUUAGGGACACCGAUUCAUUCAGAUUUUCCACUUAAACAGAUUUUCCCCAAACAAUCAUU